rnacentral:sRNA from 1 species
UUAUCAUUUGCAGUCGGCUGUGAAAUGGAGCUCGAUCAUAAUCUCUGAACCAGGGCAAUUUCAUUCCUGUGAAGGCAGGACAAUCGAUACUUGACUGCAUGCGCAGCCAUCAUAGGAAAAUCCUUCCUAGAAGUGCUUUGCCAAAACGACCUUAUGGCAUUGGCCAGAAUGAAUGCUUCUUCUCCGAGGCAUCCAAUGAGUAAUGAGUUUAUCCUCCCGCGCCGCAACCUUGCACUGAUAUUUUGAUGGGUUCGUCCACGAAGCCAAGAGGCGAUAGAUCCAAACACACAUCUCUUUGCUCAUUGACCAAUAGGGCCAGCACAACGCGGCAGAGAGCUGCGAGGUUGGACACGCAUCUGCCUCCUAAUGGAAAAACGAGGAACAUAUUAUGUAGCAGAAGCGUUAGGGCGAGGCCUCCAACGCCGCGUUUACUGCUCCCAGCUGCAACAGUUCAUUUUCCUACCAUACCCCGCAUGUUUGCUCAUUCCCCCUUUGUGAUUGGGCUAGGAGGCGGUACAAAGCAUGAAGCGGGAGGCUCCCAAGAGCCUUGAGGGCUCUUUAUAUCUCUGACAUCCCAUGGAGGGUAUAUCAAUUCUCACGAGUAUGCCUCAUUACGACUCUAAAGGCUAAACCGGCCCCCUCUCAUAAGCUUAUAUUGAAGUCUUUUCCCUUUCUUCUUAUUUUUUUUGAAGCUCUGAACUCCCAACAGUAGCUGAAAUGGCCAGGACGAAGAAGAAGAAGAGCGCUGUGACUUCAAGCCACUUGACCUCCAAUGGGGAAGCAGAUGCACAACCGAAUAGGAGCGCAGGGACUGUGAAUUCGUCUCAGGAUACCCGCGUCAUUUCCAGCUUCCCCCCAAGUGAAACACAUCCGCCACUUUUUGGCCCCGUUCCCCGGAACACAGAGAUUGUCACGGCUUCUAUGUCAAAUGGAGAUGACCACCCUAUUUCUUCCAGCCCCUAUGAAACAGAGAUUGUUAAAAUUCUCGUUGGUCCCGCUAGCGGCCAGAGAGUAUUCCUUGUCCACCUAGGAAUCCUGAAUCGAACUUCAUCGCUGAGUAACAAGAUGCGUCCGGCAACUACUACUGGAGGACAUGGCAGCAUAUCACUAGUGGACACAGAUCCGGUGGUUUUCGAGCUCGCCGUAAGGUUUCUGUAUACCGGAAAGUAUCAAGAGUGUUCCUACCCAACCCAAAAUUUUCCUUCAUUAGAGCAGGAUAACGCCAAUAAACGCCCCGACGCCAAUAUAGAGUUUGGGAUACAUUCCCUCCUCUACUGCUUCGCCCGGGAAUAUGGGAUGGAUGAACUCUCUGCCCUUGCAUCAACGAAUAUUGAAAACAUGACGGAAGUACCUUUUCUGAACGUACUUGCCGUUGCCAAGGAGGCUUACCCCAAGCUCCUGAACCACGGCGACGAUGACAUGUAUCGCGAGAAGUUCAGGCAUGAAACAAGAGUUGCAAUGGGGAAAAAUAAUAAUCUUAUCCGAGAGCCUUGGAUUCUUGAUGUGUUCAGGAAUGAACAUGGCAAUUUGGCAGUUGAUCUAUUCACAACCUUAACGGAGCCCCUGAUAUGUGACGGUGAAGCCAACAAUAGAGAGCCAUCAGUUAUGGAGGAGCCACUCGGCCCUCCUCAAUCUGGAAAGGUGAAAAGGGAAAAUUGGCACCUGGAUGAUGACCAUGCAGAUUAUUGUGUCCAAGAACCACCGGCAGAACCCGAGAUUGAAGAGCCUGUCCUUUCGACUCCCCAGGAACUUGUCGCAGAAGAUUUCCCCGGAGCCGUAUCUGAGGGAUAUCCCAGACCACUGGAAACUGAACCAGCCGAGGAGUUUGCUGAUAUCGGUAAACCUACGGUUGAUGAUGGGUGGGGAAGUUGGGGAUCCAGUGCAAAAAUAUCUGUAAAAAGGAAGGGCAAACAGCCCAAGGACCCAUUGGUGGAGAUCACGGAACCUGAACCAUUACUUGAACCUGAACCAUUACUUGAACCUGAACCAUUACUUGAACCUGAACCAUUACUUGAACCUGAACCAUUACUUGAACCUGAACCAUUACUUGAACCUGAACCAUUACUUGAACCUGAACCAUUACUUGAACCUGAACCAUUACUUGAACCUGAACCAUUUGAACCUGAACCAUUACUUGAACCUGAACCAUUACUUGAACCUGAACCAUUACUUGAACCUGAACCAUUACUUGAACCUGAACCAUUACUUGAACCUGAACCAUUACUUGAACCUGAACCAUUACUUGAACCUGAACCAUUUGAACCUGAACCAUUACUUGAACCAAAACCAGUAAAAUCCAUUAGUGGCAAGAAGGGAAAGAAGGGAAAGAAGGGAAAGAAGGGCAAGGAGAUCCUAUCCGCAGAGCCAACGCCGGAAUUUGACGUGCCCCCAAUCGAACAACCGGCCCUAUCCAAUGAUUUCCCACCAACAGAAUAUAACCAUAACCAGCCCGAAGAAACUUCGUGGGACAACCAUCAGCCUCCAGAAGAAACGCCACAUCCCUCCUCUCUGUCACCCCCUCCUCCCCUUUCUCCUCAACGACCCGCGGAAGAAGAAUCCCCCACAACCCCUCACAGCCCCUCCGCCACCUUCAUGCUCGGCGACACCGACGCCGAGAUUUCCAAGGCCAGAUAUUUCAAUCACCCAUGCAGUCGGCGUAAGGUGCAUCUGAGGAGCGAGAGUUUUUGGAUGGAUUGUAUCCGGUGUCGGAAUGAGCUGGGAAGUGUUGCGAGGGGCAUUGCUGCAGGAAUAGUGGAAGGGAAGGAUGAUGUGGUUGAUGGGGAGCCGCAGGAGGUAGAAGCUUGGUGAGGAGUGAACGUGGGGGGGUGGGGUUGAGCUGGGGUUGGGUUUUUACUUUGGUCUGAUGGUGAGCGGAUGAGGAGGUUAGCUUAUCGUGCGGGAUGGCCGGGUAUGGGAUUCUGUUGGUUUUAUACGAGAUAUCUUUCCCGGUUGAGUUAUGUGACGAUGGCCUUUUUGUUUUCGAUGUUUCGCUCCCUCCUUUUCCUUCUUUCUUCUUUUCUUUUUCUCUCUAUCUAGACGAUGACAACGCUCGUUACUUUUCUGUGGAUACCUUGGUGCUUUUCCACUAGGUAUCUAUAAAUGCCGGGAUUCCUUGCUAUUAUUUUCAAAACAAAUGCCUUAUUUAGCCCGCAUAAUACGGAACUGAGUAAGCAGGGUGAAUGAAUGUAUGAAGCAACAUCUCAUCAAUUCAAUUCCAACGGUGAUAUAUAACAAUAUUUAUAUAUAUGGUAUCAUAUCCUCAUACAUGGCUCCGAGUCCAAGUAAUCUGCAAAAACGAAAGAUGAUUGUACACCCAAGGAAAGAGGCAAAUAACCACAGCGGGAGAUUGGAGCGACUGAAUGACCACCAAAUCGAAAGGAAGCGGGGAUAGGUUGAGGCUGGAGGGAAUGUUAACAUGGCCAAAAAAGGAAGAAAAACAUAAAAAAAAAAAGAAAAAACCAAGCAACAACAAGGAAGCGCAUAAAAAUUAAAAACAAAGGUCUAUUUUUUUCUCCAUCAGUCAAUCAGCCAGUCAGUCGAUCUAAAUGAAACAUGAAAAAGCAUUAAAACAUCAAUGGCAUAGGGGAAGGUGAAUCAUCAAACGUAUAUAUAGAUACAACCCUAAAACACCACACCACAUGCCACCCGAAUGCCACGGAAAGUGCAUCUCCAAAAAGGCAAAAAAAGAGGGGGGGAGGGGGGAGGGAUAGAGAAGGGAAGGCGGGAAAAGAGUAACCGCUGAGUUGUGGGGUGCUUAGUUGGAAAACUUCAAAAUUUGGCCCAAGCAUGAAUCAAAACAGGAACGAAACAAAACAGCAAAAUGGAAGAAGAGAGAAAUGCGACGGAUAAAUCAACAACUAGGAUAGAAGUCAGGAAGUGGAGGGCGAGAGGGUGACUCAUUUAUAAAUGCCCCUUGCGAAUGGCACCGAACCCCUUACUGAGUAACUCAUGAACAUCCAACGAGCGCCGCGAGCAACUUGGAACAUCUGCACUCUCUCCGGCCGCAGCAGUUCCAUUUGCAACGGGCUGACUAUUCCCCGACUCCACCUCCUCCGUCUGCACAUGAGCACCGUCUCCGCCCUUAUCUUUGCCCUGUCCCUGAGAGGUCCUCCGAUCCAACAACUCCUGCAUCUGCAACUCCCUCUCCCUCUCCCUCUCCGCCUCCCUGUCCGCAACCUCGCUCUCCAGCCCCGCAAGAAUCUCCAAACUCGACUUCUUUCCCCCCCGAUCCCAACCCUGCUGCAGCUCUGACGCCGCCGCCUCCUCAAACCGCUUCCGAAUCUCCAGAUCGCCCUCAUACUCCUGGAAAUGAUCCACGUCGGUCGGGAACAGCGCGACGCGCAGCGCCGCCACGGAUAGCUCGAAGAGAACCACCGCAACCACGGCGAGGAAGAUGGUAACCCACCAGAGCAAAUUGCGGCCUGUGCGGGGCAAGAAGUUGUCGCGGACGUUGUAGAUGGCGUUUGUUUCGUAGCGGCGGGAGAGAAUUAUAUUCCAGAGGAACCAGCCACCAACGGACGCGAUGAUGGCGAUGACGGCCAUGAUGGUCCGGUAGCGGAUCUCAAGUAAUUGGAGCUUCAGGUUGAUGAUGAGGACGCAGACAGUGUAGGUCAGCAGGCCCAUAGCGAAGACGCCGUUGUCAAGGGUGAAGAUGGCGUUGCCGAAGAGGCCGUACAUGGUGAAAUAGAUGAUCACGGCUUCGCAGCUUCCCAUGAAGGCCCAGCCAAGAUAGAGUUUGAUGUUAAAACUGCCGUUGCGUUGGCCCUUGGUGUAGAGUUCAGGGACUGCGAGCAGAGUGGAGGCGGCGAGGUCCUUUUCGAAGAUUCCAAGGAAGAUGACUGGGAGGGAGGUGAAAAAAGUGUUGAACAUGCUCAGAGACCAUGAUUCGUAGAGACUGGUUCCUGUGUAGCCGUUCCAACGCUGGUAGAGAGCCUGCGUAAGGUAGAAGACGGUUUCCUUCCAGAAGGUUCCCAGCGUGUACUUGCAGACGCGGAUGUAGUUCCAGCGACCGUGGACGAGGAGGAGUUUGAGCAGGAACCGAAACUGCGCGAUGGAGUAGUCUGAUAUCCUGGCAGCUUGCAGACCCUCCUUACCGGUAAUGCCAAUCCCUACGUGCGCUUCCUGAAUCAUAGCGAUAUCAUUCGCACCGUCCCCGAUGGCAAGCGUAAUGGAUUUAUUUACCCUCUUCCGUAUUGACCGCACGAGGAACGCCUUCUGCUUGGGGUUCGCACGACAACAAAUGACAGAGUCCGCUAAGAUGGCAAGGUCAAAAAAGCGUUCCUGGAGCGGUGCAUCCCCUUCAAUCGUCGAUAGCGUUUGCCCAUCCACCACAACCACAGAAUGAGCACAAGCGCCCCUCUCAAUCUCACUCGUCGUCUCCAAAAUAACCUGCUCGACAUCUCCAGCAUCAUGAUCCAAAAUAGUCACAGUCGAAUAAUCCUUCACCAGCCGACACGAAUGGCCAAUAUUAAUCGCCGUUUCUCGCUUAUCCCCCGUAAGCAUCCAGAGCUUAAUAUUAGCCCGGCGCAGCUUAUCAAUGGCUUCUGGCACGCCCUUCUGCAACUUAUCCUCAAUAGCAGUAGCCCCGGCCAAUUCUAGCUGCCUCUCAAUUUGUUCGCCCACAUUUUCAAUCUUCUCCUGCCGCCCCACCAAACUCGUCGUCGCCUCCUGAUACCUAGCCUUCCACUCCUGAUAAUCUCCCUCGUCAAGGAACCGAUAGCCAUACAAUAGCGUCCGCAGCCCUUCGGUCGCAAAGUCAUUCAAGUGCUGGAAACAUCGCUCAAACACCAUCGCCUCAUUGACCACCAACGACUCCUCGACCAAAUCUUCCGCGCCAUCAUCCGUCUGGAAAGAGGAGCGGUGCAGUUCCUCCGAGAGCGCCCCGGAGGGCCGCGGGGAGAACUGCAUCGACGGCCGUGGGCUAUAAUAGUAGCCAGCAUCAUCGCCACCCCUCAACUCCAGACCGCCAUCCGUCUCCCUAUCCCGGAGCCAAACAUCGAUGCUAUCCCGCAGCGACGAGCGGCGUUUGCCAGAAACACUCGAGCGGCGCGUGCCCACGAAGCUAGGACGGCCAAUACUUAGGCUCGUCCGCUUGCCAUCCUUACGAUUGGCAUGCUCGCUGUUACGUCUCAUGACUUCUUUCGCCUCGAGAGAUUUACGCUUAUUGGCGCGGCUCUCGAUCUCGGCGACCUUCUCCGCCGCGAGCCCGGAUCGUUUCAGGAGGCCCAUGACGAUCGAAUCGGCGCCUUUGCAGAAGAGGCAGAUUCGCUUGUCGGGCAUGCGCACGAUGAUCGACAUGCGUUUGCGCGCGCUGGAGAAUUCAAUGACGUCUAGAAUUUCAUAGACCUCCUCUUUUUCGAUGGGCUCUCCAUCAUCGCCAUCACCGCCCCGCCUGGCCGUUGAGAG